UAUGUUACACAUAAAGCAAGAUUUGAUGAACUGUAAAGGCCUUAUCACACAAAAAAAUAUUGAUAGGUUAUUCUUAGCUUCUUUGCUGUAGAAUCUCCAGGCAAAAAGUGUGUUCGGGUCUUUACAUAGUUAUUUUAUGGAUGAAAACAUUUGUUAUUAAUUACUUUGAAAAAAUAAUUUCUAAGUAGGUAUCAUUGGAUAAUUUACAUUUAUUUUGUGAAUUUAUCUAUUUAGUCAUGUAUAUAAAUGAGUUAAAUUAAAUGCAUUUAAUGUAGUUAGUACUCACCUUGCAUAAUCAAAAGAUGUAUUGCAAUGUUUAAUAUUUCUGACUAUUAGGUACUUGAAAUUGUAUAUACUAACUGUUAUGUUAUUGGACUUAUUGGCUAGUCGAGUGUACCUAUGCUAUUUGCCAGAAUCAUAGUUCAUGCAGAUUUUCAAAUUCAGUAAUACAGUGUACAGAAAUUUUAUUGUAGAUUAGGGUCUUAGUGCCUUUCACCAUUUAGGUGUGUUUAAAGAUAUCCACAAUGUUAACGAUGGGAAUUAAAGACAUGUAAGCGCUCAAGGACACCAAUAAAUAUAGCUGUGAUUUAAUAAUACAAAUGCAGAAUUUUUCAAUAUACUUAUUGUGUCAAAUAAUGUCGCUUCCAAUGUUGACCUAGCGCCUGUAUUACUUUAUGUUCCUUCCCGAUAUCAUAACUAGAAUAUAAAUAACAUAAUAGUAUUUUAAAUUUAAACUGUCGUAAGUCACACUGACAGUGUUUAACUAUGUACAUUUAUGAAGUUGCGCGUCGCGGUGACGAAAAGGUCGCUCUAAAAGUUCGGAAUUUGACACUGUAGUAGUGAAAUAGUAAAAGUGAAUACCUACCUAAAGCUAUGCUUUGUAUAUCUAUGAUAUUUAAUUAUAAUUUGCCAUUUUGAAGUUGUAAUUAACAUUAAUAUUUAAAUAUUUCACCAUGUGAUAUUUCCAUGUUAUCUGUUAUCGUGAUAAAUGAUUAAUAAUAUUAGAAUAUGUUGAUUUAUUCAUUACGUGAUGUAUACUUUUUAAGUUUUGUCAUGACAUGAUAACUACUAAGCUGGAAAAUUUAUAUAAGUAUAAAGCCUGUACUGUUGUUGUGUAUAUAUAUAUUUGGUAAUAUAAUGUUAUUUUCCCGGCGUGUCGAAAGUGUAGUAGAAGUCCGAUUUAUUUUAAGAUACCUAGGUAUUUCCUUUAUUAUACUUUUUAAUGGGCAAUUGAAAGUAUAUGUUUGUGAUAUCCGCGUCGACUGAGUAAACGUCCUAUUUGGUUUAUAAAGCUCAUCAUAAAUCAUAACUGUAGGUAACUAGAAAAGCAAUAAAAUUAUCCAUAUAUAACUCAAGGUAUUGGGUGUUUGCCUACGAUUGUGUGUAUAUAUUAGGACACCGUGUGAAACCAUAGAAAUUGAUGAAAUCUCGAGGCAAAUUCUUUUACAUAUUUUAUUACAGUAGAAACUAAAAUUAUUUUAUGUACAUAAGCGCAUUAAAAACAACAUUGUAUAAAUAAAUAAAUCUAAAGUGCGAA